CCACGCGCUUGGUGGACCAGACAAACAGACGAGAGCAUCAUUAUUGCAACGUGAACUCUACUCAAUUACCAAGCUGCUUCUUCCUCCUGAAACCUCAGAGUUGGCACACUGCUCCGCGGUUCCUGCAUUCCUACUACUUCCACAGUGAUCGAGAGAAGAGGAAGAUGGAGGGGGGGGGGUGGUGAGCGCGGUGACGGGAGCCAUGAGGACGCUGCUGCCCAAGCUGGCGGCGUUGCUGGCGGGCAAGUACAAGCUGUCCAGCGGCGUGCACAAGCAGAUCGUCUCGUUGAGGAACGAGAUGGGCAGCAUGAACGCGCUCCUCGUCAGGCUCUCUCGGGCGGCGGCGCUCGACGAGCAGCAGAGGGACUGGCGUGACAAGGUGCGCGAGCUCUCCUACGACAUGGAGGACUGCGUCGACGUCUUCACCCAUGACCUCAACGGCAGCGGCCAUGGCGGCAAGGCCUGGCUUAGGCGCAGGCUCAGGAAGAUCAAGACGCGCCACAAGAUCGCCAGCCGCGUCGAGGAACUCAAGGCUCGGGCGCUCCAAGUAAGCAGCUGCCACCAUAGGUAUAAGAUUGAUGAGCGCACCCUUUCUCCUCCUCCUGACUGCAUCCCUUCUCCUCGGGCUGGGGGGCUGGUGGCUAUUGACCCUCGAAUGGAGGCACUCUAUGUAGACCCCAACAACCUCGUAGGCAUAGACGGCCCGAGGGAGAAGCUCAUCAAGUUGCUCAGUCGGGAAGAAGACGGCGCAAAUCGCCUUAGAGUUGCGGCUGUCGUUGGAUCUGGAGGUAUGGGCAAGACAACUCUCGCCCACCAAGUUUAUACCAAGAUCAAAAGCCAAUUUGAUUGCAAGGCUUUUGUAACGGUGUCUCAAAAUGCCAGUACGUUCAAGACUCUUUCAGAUAUAUACCAAGCAUUUAGGGGCUGGAUGCCUUCUAGCCUCAAAGAUGGACAACUCAUCGUCGAACUCCGGAACUACCUCAGAGAUAAAAGAUACCUUAUUGUGUUGGAUGAUAUCUGGGCAAUAAACGCAUGGAAUACUUUUAAAGUUUGUUUUGUGGAGAAUAAUCUUGGUAGCAGAGUUAUCACAACUACACGAAAUGAAGAUGUGGCUAAGGCAUGUUGUUCUUGUUUCCAUGGGCAUGUCUACAGGAUCAAACCUCUUAAUGAUCUUGACUCGAGGAGAUUAUUUUAUAAAAGGGUAUUUUAUUCUGACGAAGCGUGUCCAAAGCAACUAAAGAAUGUUUCUGGUGAAAUAUUGAAGAAAUGUGAUGGGGUUCCAUUAGCUAUUCUCAGUGUUGCCAGCUAUUUGGCUAGUCAUGAAGAGGUGAGCUCAAAGGAAACCUGGGAGAAGAUGCAAAAUCAUUUAGGUUUUCCAUUGGAAGGACAUCCUGCAUUUGAAUGGAUGAGGCAUGUGCUUACUCUUGGCUACAAUGAUUUAUCAUUGGACCUUAAGACAUGUUUAUUGUACCUUGGUAUAUUCCCGCAGGGUUCUAAAAUUAGAAAAGAAAAUUUGGUGAAGAGAUGGAUUUCUGAGGGUUUUGUUACUGAGAAGCAUGGUUAUGGCCCUGAGGAUAUUGCAGAAAGCUACUUCACUGAGCUCAUCAACAAAAACAUGAUCCAAAUAGACGAGUACGAUGAUUGCGGGCAUGUGUUGUCCUGUAGAGUGCAUGAUCUAAUGCUUGACUUUAUCAUACUAAAGUCCACAGAAGAAAACUUUAUCACCGUAAUCAAGGAACCACCUACAGGUAAUGGUGCACACAACAGGAAUGGCGGUUUCGAAUUUCGCCGGCUAUCCCUCCAACUUAGUAAAUUCAGAAUGCACUCAGGUGUUGGGUAACACGGCUCUCACCCAAGUUAGGUCUUUGAACUUUUGGGGUGAACCUGAAUGUAUGCCUUCUCUCUCAAGUUUUCAACUUCUGCGAGUUCUGCAUCUUCAUGCUGGUGGACACGAAUAUCAACACUAUGAUCUAUCUCCCAUAUGCAACUUUUUCCAGCUGAGUUAUUUGAAGAUUGGAGGUGUGCAUUGUGAGAAACAGUUAAGAGAAUUGCAUAAGUUACAAAAUUUAAAGACAUUGGAGCUAGCUAGUGGUGUAGGAUUUUUCCGGCUAGAUGUCAGCAUAUUACCGUCGACAUUGUGCCAUCUGAUUGUUCCGACAGGUGUCAAACUGUUUGGUGCGAUCGGCAGGAUGAAAGCCCUUUGUACUUUGGUUGGAUUUUUCAUACUUCGCCGAGAUGCGAAGAGCAUGAAGGCGCUGGGUGCUCUGAGCAAUCUGAGAGAGCUAGAGUUAUAUCUCGAAGGGCCUUUUGUUCCUGAUUCUGGUUCUAAUUAUGAUUCUGUUUAUGAUUCUCUACUCCUCUCCCUCAAUAGACUUGGCAGGCUUCAAUCCAUCACCUUCCAUGGUCUCGCAAGAUAUAGUUACUUGGAGAAGUAUGUCUUAACUUGUUGGUCCACACCACCACCAAGUCAUCUUCAUCGAUUACAUGCGCAGGGCUUCACCUUCUCCAUCGUCCCAGAUUGGGUUGCACAACUCAACCAGCUCAGAAGCCUGAAAAUUGAAGUCCGGUCACUGCUGAGAGAUGGUUUGGAGGUUAUGGCCAGGCUGACCAUGCUGGUUCACCUUGAAUUGUAUGUUCGGGAGCAUGUUCCCAUACAAGGCUUACUCAUCCGAGCUGCAACAUUUCCAAAUCUCAAGGAAUUUUGGUUCAGGUAUAAAGCACCUUGCCUCAUGUUCGAGGCAGGGGCCAUGCCCAGGGUCCAGAGCCUCACUAUGGAGUGUUAUGCAGAAGCAGAGCGGCAAGGUGAUGAUAGUGUGCUUGAUGGAAUCGAGCAUCUGGGAAGCCUAGAGACAUUCAAGGUGUAUAUCUGUCACCAGGAGAAUUUUAGCAGGCUUGUUGAACUUUCGGCGCUGGUUUCUGAGCUGCCGGCGUGCCUGGAAGAGAUUCAACGGUGGGACGAGCAUAGUCUCAAGGUUAUGCUUAGGAAGGCAAUCAACAAGCAUCCAGGGAGUCCUGAUGUUAGCAUUGAACCUGCGUAGGGCGAUCAAGUGGACAGGAUGGGAGGAAGUGCAGAGCUCAAAAUGGGACAGAUUACAAUGGGUGCUCUACUGCCAUUCCAUGGCCAGAAUAAACAUUGGUUGGUGGAAUGGCAUGGAGAAGGCUGCUCAGCUGGUCGGUGUUAUGAUAUAUAAGCAAUGUAAUGUCGCAUGCUUGAUAUAGUGUGUAAGAACCUUUAAAUUGUGUGUCUGUUCUAUGAUAUACUGAUUCAAACAUUAACUUAGGUCCUAAAACUUAAGAACUUUCGGAGGCAGAAAAUUACUAGUCUUCAAACUGAUUCAGCGGUUAAGAAAGUUAAACUGCUUCAACCUAAAAACUUAAGAACUUUCGGAGGUAGAAACUUCAGAAUAUUUGCUCUGUCAUAAGGAGGGCAUGGUUUGUUUUGCAAAUAUUUUUUAGUGGUUCGGGUUCAUCAGAUGGCAUGUACUCUAAACCCAAGUGGUUGGACUUGGACAAUAGUAACUUUAUACACCAAUGUUUUCCUGAUGAGGGGAAUUAAACAGCUGUUUGGCGACUAAUGUUACAUCCUACUGUUAUUCCGAUGUGGAUGAUCUUUCUAGCCAUUGUUAAUCAUUUUUCUCUACGUGGAUAUUCAGAGAUGUCUUCAUAUUUUGCAGUAUCUCAGGGGUGCUCUGCUUCUUUUAGAAUACAAGUGCUCUGCUUCUUGGCUGCAUGGGAGGGAAACACUAAUACCAUGUUUGGCAUCACUAAGGCCGCGCUUGGAAUCGAUGUAAAUACAGAUGUAUUAUUCUUACAAGUGUAACUUACAGAUGAAAAACUAUUUCUAACCGGAAAUCAAAACGACGGGGUUUUACA